UGUCCCUGACCUGGGUAGAGUGGCAUCUGGUUGGUGGUGCCCAUCUCAUAUCAGCCAGGGACAAAGCAACCCCUUGUUCAUCCCAGCUUGGCUUUUGAUCUGUGCCUAUGCCUGGUUCAUGCCUUGGACACAUAG
ensembl:snoRNA